UCAAUUUCCUCAUCUGUAAAAUGGGAAUAAGCAACAUCUGCCAAGGCCAUCGAUGUGGACAUCGUCCUGAAAUGGACAGCCUUCCCUGCCUCUGAGAUGGCUCCGUGAAAUAGAAGCUGUGGACGUCGUCCUGAAAUGAACAGCCUUCCCUGCCCUUCGAGCAGAGCUGCCGUGGGUCUUUGAAGCAGACAGUGAGCCUCAAAAGUGGAUCGUUUUAAUACCUCCCUUCUGAAGAGGAAAGUCUGUGCUGCGCCUUCUUCCUCCCUCUGUGUGCUCGUCCUGCCCCUGCCAGCAGCCCCAUCCACGUUCAGGGAGGCAGGGAGGAAGGGAGUCCAGGCUGGCCAAAGGCCUUGGGGCCAGCAGACACUUCCAGAAAAGACCAUAUGGAAGAGUUGUGAAGAUGGACAGUGGUGACAGCUACACAACAAUGUGAAGGUUUUCACACGCACUGCAGAGUUUCCAGAGAUAAAGCCCCACAACCAGAGAUGGCAAAGCACCUCCUUUCUCUGCCUCCAGAGAGGAGAAUUCAGCCGAGCAGGAAACUACGGAGUCUCUGAUUGGCUUCUGAGAGCUGGAGCAGUUUGUGAGUGUCAGGGACCCAGGAACCUCAGCCCCAGGCUGUCAUUCCCUUCGGCUUCUGGCUCAGUCCUGCUGCAUCUUAUAAGGCCCCUGGGUGAACUAGGGGCUGGGAGGUGGUGCGUUACCCCUAGAGCAGCUGGGCCCACAGGCUCACCAGGCUGAGGGAGUGUGGCCUCACGAUCAAGAGCAGGGGAUUUUGAGGUCAGACAGGACUGGGAGCAAAUCUCAGCCCUGCAGCUUCCUGCUGUGGGACUGUAGAUAAAUGACUGGGUUUCUCUGGGCCUGCAAAGCUCUCAAUAAACAGGAGCAGCCAGCAGCAGGACUGGAGUCCACAGGUGAUCUGUCUCUGACCUCAGGUGUCCACAACCAUCCUCUCAGAAGACA